CGACGAUGUAAUACCUUUUUUUUUUAACAGCCGAUGACGACGAAGUGAAAGACGAAGAACUUUGUUUGAUCGAUCUUACAAAGUUGGAAGAUGAUUAUCGAGAGGAUUCGCCGGAAGAGACCAACGCGAUCCCUUUAACCCAAUCGCAGUCUGAUUUUCCGUUUACAUCUCCUGCUCGCUGGUCUCCCUUAACGCUGGCGGGUCCGUCAACGGCCAUUCCAGGCAGAGGAGAAGGCUUGAUUGCGCCAAAGACUCCAGACAUCGAAUCCUUGCUCCGAGGGGAAAUCAUCGAAAACGACGGUGAAUGUCCGACAGGCACCCGCUGCAACAAACGCAGGAGGAAGCGUAGAUGCGCCCGCCAGCUCGACAAACAUGAUAGAAACAGAAGAAGGCUGAAACAGUACUAUCGUAUACUGGCUCGCACUCUCAUGAAGAUGGCAGACAUGAUUUGAUACAUACUGGUUUGUUAUAUCUGUUCCAUUCGAAUUAUUUUUUCUUUUUUUUUCUUUAGAGAAAUAUAAUGGGUGUAGUUCCAUCUGAAUUAGAUGUAGUUAUUGUAGAAGAUGAAGACAUUUGUAAUCAUCAUUUAGAUCCAAACAACCAGAUAGAAUGGGAACCAAACGAUGAUCCGUCUUUGCAAGAUGAUAUUAAUGUGUUAAAUUCAAACACAAACACACAAGCCUCUACACAGCAUCACGAGGUGUUGGGAGGGGCGACACCCUCGGGGGAAUGUUUGGAUUUUUCGGAGGUGGUGGGGGUCAUGCAGAACCAACCGUCAACGGCUGACCAAUCAAUUUCAAAUGAGACCCAGA